rnacentral:rRNA from 1 species
AGUGAACGCUGGCGGUAGGCCUAACACAUGCAAGUCGAACGGCAGCACAGUAAGAGCUUGCUCUUACGGGUGGCGAGUGGCGGACGGGAGAGGAAUACAUCGGAAUCUACUUUUUCGUGGGGGAUAACGUAGGGAAACUUACGCUAAUACCGCAUACGACCUACGGGUGAAAGCAGGGGAUCUUCGGACCUUGCGCGAUUGAAUGAGCCGAUGUCGGAUUAGCUAGUUGGCGGGGUAAAGGCCCACCAAGGCGACGAUCCGUAGCUGGUCUGAGAGGAUGAUGAGCCACACUGGAACUGAGACACGGUCCAGACUCCUACGGGAGGCAGCAGUGGGGAAUAUUGGACAAUGGGCGCAAGCCUGAUCCAGCCAUACCGCGUGGGUGAAGAAGGCCUUCGGGUUGUAAAGCCCUUUUGUUGGGAAAGAAAAGCAGCAGGUUAAUACCCCGCUGUUCUGACGGUACCCAAAGAAUAAGCACCGGCUAACUUCGUG